rnacentral:rRNA from 1 species
AGCAGCCGCGGUAAUUCCAGCUCCAAUAGCGUAUAUUAAAGUUGUUGCAGUUAAAAAGCUCGUAGUUGAAUUUCGGGAUCAAUAUGUUGGUCGUGCCUUGGUACGUACUAAUUUAUUGGUUUCUUCCUUCUGACGAACCAUGAUGUCAUUAAUUUGGUGUCUUGGGGAAUCAGGACUGUUACUUUGAAAAAAUUAGAGUGUUUAAAGCAGGCUCACGCUUGAAUACAUUAGCAUGGAAUAAUGAAAUAGGACGUUUGAUUCUAUUUUGUUGGUUUCUAGGAUCGACGUAAUGAUUAAUAGGGAUAGUUGGGGGCAUUAGUAUUCAAUUGUCAGAGGUGAAAUUCUUGGAUUUAUUGAAGACUAACUACUGCGAAAGCAUUUGCCAAGGAUGUUUUCAUUAAUCAAGAACGAAAGUUAGGGGAUCGAAGACGAUCAGAUACCGUCGUAGUCUUAACCNUAAACUAUGCCGACUAGGGAUCGGAUGAUGUUAAUUUUUAAUGACUCAUUCGGCGCCUUACGG